rnacentral:rRNA from 1 species
UAUAUCAGUCAUGCAUAGCAUAUCAAUAAGCGGAGGAAAAGAAACUAACAAGGAUUCCCUUAGUAACGGCGAGUGAAGCGGGUAAGAGCUCAAAUUUGAAAUCUUCAAGGUUUUACCUUGACGAAUUGUAGUUUAAAGAAGUGUUUUCUGUUGAAGUUUUGGUAAAAGUUCUUUGGAAUAGGACAUCAUAGAGGGUGAGAAUCCCGUAUUUGACCAUUACUUUCAGCUUUGUGAUACACUUUCAAAGAGUCGGAUUGUUUGGGAAUGCAGUCCAAAAUGGGUGGUAAAUUUCAUCUAAAGCUAAAUAUUGGCGAGAGACCGAUAGCGAACAAGUACCGUGAGGGAAAGAUGAAAAGAACUUUGAAAAGAGAGUUAAACAGUACGUGAAAUUGUCAAAAGGGAAGCGUUUGACACCAGUGUUGUUUUCUCGAAAAUCAAUUAAAAAGAGUUGGAUUUUGUGUUGUAUUGACUUUAUCGGCUUUCUUCACUCUUUUCCAGCUUUUUUUAAUGCACUUUUCGUUUAACAAGUCAACAUCAGUUUCUUUUGUUGUAAAAAGGUCAUUGCAAGGUGGCUUUCUCUUCGGAGAAAGUGUUUAUAGCCUUUGACUCAUGCAAUCGGAGAGACUGAGGUCUGCAGCGUAGAUCCUUCGGGGUUAGAUACAUUUGUGCUAAGUUAUAGCUUUUCAUAGACAACUUGUUGACUAUGUUUAGUCUUGUAGCUUACUCGCUUAUGCUAUUUUACCUACGCUUAGGAUGUUGAACUCUAUCACACACAG